rnacentral:rRNA from 1 species
UACGGGGGGGCAAGGCGUUGUUCGGAAUUACUGGGCGUAAAGGGCGCGUAGGCGGCCUGCUAAGUCGAUGUGAAAUCCCUCGGCUACAACCGAGGAACUGCAUCCGAUACUGGACGGGCUUGAAUCCGGGAGAGGGAUGUGGAAUUCCAGGUGUAGCGGUGAAAUGCGUAGAUAUCUGGAGGAACACCGGUGGCGAAGGCGGCAUCCUGGACCGGUAUUGGACGCUGAGGCGCGAAAGCUAGGGGAGCAAACGGGG